rnacentral:rRNA from 1 species
CAGUCGCCGCGGGAAUGCGUAGGUGGCAAGCGUUGUCCGGAAUUAUUGGGCGUAAAGGGCUCGCAGGCGGUUUCUUAAGUCUGGUGUGAAAGCCCCCGGCUCAACCGGGGAGGGUCAUUGGAAACUGGGAAACUUGAGUGCAGAAGAGGAGAGUGGAAUUCCACGUGUAGCGGUGAAAUGCGUAGAGAUGUGGAGGAACACCAGUGGCGAAGGCGACUCUCUGGUCUGUAACUGACGCUGAGGAGCGAAAGCGUGGGGAGCGAACAGGAUUAGAUACCCCCGUAGUCCCUGUCUCUUAUAC